rnacentral:rRNA from 1 species
UUGAACGCUGGCGGCAGGCCUAACACAUGCAAGUCGAGCGGUAACACAGAGAGCUUGCUCUCGGGUGACGAGCGGCGGACGGGUGAGUAAUGUCUGGGAAACUGCCUGAUGGAGGGGGAUAACUACUGGAAACGGUAGCUAAUACCGCAUAACGUCGCAAGACCAAAGUGGGGGACCUUCGGGCCUCAUGCCAUCAGAUGUGCCCAGAUGGGAUUAGCUAGUAGGUGGGGUAACGGCUCACCUAGGCGACGAUCCCUAGCUGGUCUGAGAGGAUGACCAGCCACACUGGAACUGAGACACGGUCCAGACUCCUACGGGAGGCAGCAGUGGGGAAUAUUGCACAAUGGGCGCAAGCCUGAUGCAGCCAUGCCGCGUGUGUGAAGAAGGCCUUCGGGUUGUAAAGCACUUUCAGCGGGGAGGAAGGCGGUGAGGUUAAUAACCUCAUCGAUUGACGUUACCCGCAGAAGAAGCACCGGCUAACUCCGUGCCAGCAGCCGCGGUAAUACGGAGGGUGCAAGCGUUAAUCGGAAUUACUGGGCGUAAAGCGCACGCAGGCGGUCUGUCAAGUCGGAUGUGAAAUCCCCGGGCUCAACCUGGGAACUGCAUUCGAAACUGGCAGGCUAGAGUCUUGUAGAGGGGGGUAGAAUUCCAGGUGUAGCGGUGAAAUGCGUAGAGAUCUGGAGGAAUACCGGUGGCGAAGGCGGCCCCCUGGACAAAGACUGACGCUCAGGUGCGAAAGCGUGGGGAGCAAACAGGAUUAGAUACCCUGGUAGUCCACGCCGUAAACGAUGUCGAUUUGGAGGUUGUGCCCUUGAGGCGUGGCUUCCGGUGCUAACGCGUUAAAUCGACCGCCUGGGGAGUACGGCCGCAAGGUUAAAACUCAAAUGAAUUGACGGGGGCCCGCACAAGCGGUGGGGCAUGUGGUUUAAUUCGAUGCAACGCGAAGAACCUUACCUGGUCUUGACAUCCACAGAACUUUCCAGAGAUGGAUUGGUGCCUUCGGGAACUGUGAGACAGGUGCUGCAUGGCUGUCGUCAGCUCGUGUUGUGAAAUGUUGGGUUAAGUCCCGCAACGAGCGCAACCCUUAUCCUUUGUUGCCAGCGGUUCGGCCGGGAACUCAAAGGAGACUGCCAGUGAUAAACUGGAGGAAGGUGGGGAUGACGUCAAGUCAUCAUGGCCCUUACGACCAGGGCUACACACGUGCUACAAUGGCAUAUACAAAGAGAAGCGACCUCGCGAGAGCAAGCGGACCUCAUAAAGUAUGUCGUAGUCCGGAUUGGAGUCUGCAACUCGACUCCAUGAAGUCGGAAUCGCUAGUAAUCGUAGAUCAGAAUGCUACGGUGAAUACGUUCCCGGGCCUUGUACACACCGCCCGUCACACCAUGGGAGUGGGUUGCAAAAGAAGUAGGUAGCUUAACCUUCGGGAGGGCGCUUACCACUUUGUGAUUCAUGACUGGGGUG